AAGACUAUACUUUCAGGGAUCAUUUCUAUAGUUCGUUACUAGAGAAGUUUCUCUGAUCGUGUAGAGCACCCGAAACCACGAGGAGGAGACGCAGCGUUCUCUCCUGAGCGUGAAGCCGGCUUUUGGUGUUGCAUUCUGCAGCUGCUAUUAGCCAUUGAUGAUCGUUCUUCUUUUCCUUUUUGGAGAUGAAGAGGGAGAGGACGUAGUCUGAGUGAAA
ensembl:snoRNA